AAACUGCUGACGAGUCCCAUACUAGGACGAAACGGCCGUCCAGUGC
rnacentral:hammerhead_ribozyme from 1 species